GAUGAACGCUGGCGGCGUGCCUAAUACAUGCAAGUCGAGCGAACAGACGAGGAGCUUGCUCCUCUGACGUUAGCGGCGGACGGGUGAGUAACACGUGGAUAACCUACCUAUAAGACUGGGAUAACUUCGGGAAACCGGAGCUAAUACCGGAUAAUAUAUUGAACCGCAUGGUUCAAUAGUGAAAGACGGUUUUGCUGUCACUUAUAGAUGGAUCCGCGCCGCAUUAGCUAGUUGGUAAGGUAACGGCUUACCAAGGCAACGAUGCGUAGCCGACCUGAGAGGGUGAUCGGCCACACUGGAACUGAGACACGGUCCAGACUCCUACGGGAGGCAGCAGUAGGGAAUCUUCCGCAAUGGACGAAAGCCUGACGGAGCAACGCCGCGUGAGUGAUGAAGGUCUUCGGAUCGUAAAGCUCUGUUAUUAGGGAAGAACAAAUGUGUAAGUAACUAUGCACGUCUUGACGGUACCUAAACAGAAAGCCACGGCUAACUACGUG
rnacentral:rRNA from 1 species